rnacentral:rRNA from 1 species
GACGAAGGUGGCAAGCGUUGUUCGGUAUUACUGGGCUUAAAGCGUGUGUAGGCGGAAUGGUAAGCGUCUUGUGAAAUCCCUCAGCUUAACUGAGGAAUUGCUCGACGAACUGCCUUUCUUGAGGCAAGUAGGGGUGCACGGAACUCAUGGUGGAGCGGUGGAAUGCGUAGAUAUCAUGAGGAACGCCAGAGGUGAAGACGGUGCACUGGGCUUGAUCUGACGCUGAGACACGAAAGCGUGGGGAGCAAAC